rnacentral:rRNA from 1 species
UACGGGGGGGGGCAAGCGUUGUUCGGAAUUACUGGGCGUAAAGGGCUCUUAGGCGGCCAACUAAGUCAGACGUGAAAUCCCUCGGCUUAACCGGGGAACUGCGUCUGAUACUGGUUGGCUUGAGUGUGGGAGAGGGAUGCGGAAUUCCAGGUGUAGCGGUGAAAUGCGUAGAUAUCUGGAAGAACACCAAAGGCGAAGGCAGUGUCCUGGGUGGUCGCUGACGCUGAGAGGCGAAAGCCAGGGGAGCGAACGGG